rnacentral:rRNA from 1 species
GUAGGUGGCAAGCGUUGUCCGGAAUUAUUGGGCGUAAAGCGCGCGCAGGCGGUUCUUUAAGUCUGAUGUGAAAGCCCACGGCUCAACCGUGGAGGGUCAUUGGAAACUGGAGAACUUGAGUACAGAAGAGAAAAGCGGAAUUCCACGUGUAGCGGUGAAAUGCGUAGAGAUGUGGAGGAACACCAGUGGCGAAGGCGGCUUUCUGGUCUGUAACUGACGCUGAGGCGCGAAAGCGUGGGGAGCAAACAGGGAUUAGAUACCCUGGUAGUCCACGCCGUAAACGAUGAGUGCUAAGUGUUAGGGGGGUUUCCGCCCCCUUAGUGCUGCAGCUAACGCAUUAAGCACUCCGCCUGGGGAGUACGGCCGCAAGGCUG